UCCCAUCAGGGAGGAAAUGCUACCAUGCCCAUCAGAGCUCUUGUUUCUGAGGAGUAUUUGGGUGGUUUUUCUUGAAGGCGGUUUUAUUCUAAAGGAGGUAAAUUGGAGCCCUUUCUCAGAUGGUAAUUGUUGCCGGGAGCUUACAUGUAAUGUGUAAUAUAAUGCAGUGUAAACAAUUGGUCUGGUCCUUCCCUUUUCCUCUUCCCUUUCACUCUCCCACAGCUAUUUUUAAAAUGAACUAAAAAGUCCAUUCAAGAAAGAAAUGUGAAGUUUCAAGUUCACUCACUUUUCCUCAUCUCCACAAACAUGCCCUUAGCCCAGAGCUAUGUACAAUGUACUGUGAUAGUAAGUAGAUCAAAGAAUACAUGAAAGAUAACAGUUUUCCUCUCAAGAAACUUAAAAUGGGAACAGCUUACACAAUGUCUACUGAUGGUCCUUGUUUACAUCUGUUGUCCUGAUAUAAUAAUUAAUUGCACUCUUUCAGUCUCAAAACUGUACCAGUUAGGAUAAUAAAUUACAUGGUGACCCUGUCUAAGAAACCUUGACCUCAGUGAUUAGAAUGUAUUAGGCACCCAAGGAUUAUCCCAAGAUCAGAGAUGAUGAAU
rnacentral:lncRNA from 10 species